ensembl:lncRNA
AAGCCACGCUGGCUCUGGUCUUCUAUUUCUAUUAGACAAUCUCUAGUUUGACUUAGUUUGUCUCUAGCCUACUGUAUUUUCCUGCCCAGGAACUGUUGGGUACAACUCCAAAUCAAAACAUGUCGAUGGGGUGAAUCUUGAACUGUGAUUUACAGGACCUGGUGGCUGAGUUCAACCAACACCUCUCCAUCACCCCCUCUGUGGAACACAGAAGAAGAAGGCACCAACGCAUCAUCCAAAGGUUGCGGUCUCUGAGAAAGCUCUGAGAUCAUGGAUGUACUUCUCGCAGCGGGAGUCACAGGUCAGGCUGGAUUGCAGGGCCAUGCUGGGCUACAGUCUGGUAGCAUGGGCCCUGCCAGUGUCAGGGUCAGGUCUGAGCGCUCUGCCCUACUGCCAGCAGCAGUCGGCACCGGGGAUAAUCUGUCUAAGCAGCUUGUAUACGAUUUCCCUCUUCUUCCUUCCUCAGAUGCAUGGGAGCUACGUCCUGCUGUAGAUCAGAGGUUAGGUUGAGGGGUUCAGAACAGACAGGGGG